rnacentral:rRNA from 1 species
AGUGAACGCUGGCGGCAGGCCUAACACAUGCAAGUCGAACGAACCUUUCGGGGUUAGUGGCGGACGGGUGAGUAACACGUGGGAACGUGCCUUUAGGUUCGGAAUAACUCAGGGAAACUUGUGCUAAUACCGAAUGUGCCCUUCGGGGGAAAGAUUAAUCGCCUUUAGAGCGGCCCGCGUCUGAUUAGCUAGUUGGUUGAGGUAAUGGCUCACCAAGGCGACGAUCAGUAGCUGGUCUGAGAGGAUGAUCAGCCACAUUGGGACUGAGACACGGCCCAAAAUCCUACGGGAGGCAGCAGUGGGGAAUCUUGCGCAAUGGGCGAAAGCCUGACGCAGCCAUGCCGCGUGAAUGAUGAAGGUCUUAGGAUUGUAAAAUUCUUUCACCGGGGACGAUAAUGACGGUACCCGGAGAAGAAGCCCCGGCUAACUUCGUG